rnacentral:rRNA from 1 species
GGUCAAGCAAACAAGCGCACAUGGUGGAUGCCUUGGCGAUAAGAGGCGAUGAAGGACGUGGUAGUCUGCGAUAAGCCCCGGUAAGUUGACAAACUAACUCUGACCCGGGGAUUUCCGAAUGGGGAAACCCACCCGCUUUGCGCGGGUAUCGCGCGCUGAAUACAUAGGCGCGCGAGGCGAACCCGGGGAACUGAAACAUCUAAGUACCCGGAGGAACAGAAAUCAACCGAGAUUCCCCAAGUAGCGGCGAGCGAACGGGGACCAGCCUGCAUGCGAUAGCGGGAAAGUUAGUGGAACGGUCUGGAAAGUCCGGCCACAGCGGGUGACAGCCCCGUACACGAAAACUUUUCCGUGAUACUGAGCAUGCGACAAGUAGGGCGGAGCACGUGAAACUCUGUCUGAACAUGGGGGGACCAUCCUCCAAGGCUAAAUACUACUUAUCGACCGAUAGUGAACCAGUACCGUGAGGGAAAGGCGAAAAGAACCCCUGUUAGGGGAGUGAAACAGAACCUGAAACCGUGUGUGUACAAGCAGUGGGAGCCUGAUUCCCGGAUUCGUCCGGGGAACGGGCGACUGCGUACCUUUUGUAUAAUGGGUCAGCGACUUAAUUUCAGUAGCAAGGUUAACCUGUCAUGGGGGAGCCGCAGCGAAAGCGAGUCUUAACAGGGCGAUUAGUCUUCGGACGCGAGUUGCUGGGAUUAGACCCGAAACCGGGCGAUCUAGCCAUGGCCAGGUUGAAGGUCGGGUAAUACCGACUGGAGGACCGAACCAACCUAUGUUGAAAAAUGGGUGGAUGAGCUGUGGCUCGGAGUGAAAGGCUAAACAAGCCCGGAGAUAGCUGGUUCUCCUCGAAAACUAUUUAGGUAGUGCCUCGUGUCUCACCGUCGGGGGUAGAGCACUGUCAUGGCUAGGGCUGCAUCUCGCGGUACCAACCCAUAGCAAACUCCGAAUACCGAUGAGUGCAAUCACGGGAGACAGACGGCGGGAGAUAAGUUUCGUCGUCGAAAGGGAAACAGCCCAGACCGCCAUCUAAGGUCCCCAAACACAUCUCAGUGGGAAACGAUGUGGGAAGGCUCAGACAGCCAGGAGGUUGGCUUAGAAGCAGCCAUCCUUUAAAGAAAGCGUAAUAGCUCACUGGUCGAGUCGGCCUGCGCGGAAGAUAUACCGGGGCUCAAGAUGUGUACCGAAGAUGCGGGUGCAAAAGGUUGAACAAAGAGAAUUGAAUUGCCCAUGCUUAUGGUGGUUUAUAAAUUAGAGUUAAAUUAGAAGGUUAUUCAUCUUUAUCGUGUUAUCGUCCAAAAGCACGAUGAUGAAAAUCGUCAAACUUGUUUAACUCUUUCACCGUAAAGGCAAUCCAAUGGCAAUCGUCAAAGAUUUUGAGUGUGAGCGUUGCGCUGUCCAAUUUGGGCGGCAAACCGAAACGCACGCAAAAAUCGUAGUGGAUGACAAUCAGUGUCGCGUUAAGAUUUUGACAUACGGUUCUGCUGAACGAGAUGUUAAGGGAGCCGUCAGUCAGAAUAUCUCGCUAACCACUGAUGCGGCGCGAAAACUGCGCGACAUCCUCAACGAAAUCGUCUAAGUUCUUUUUGUUCAACCUUUUGCACGGUAGAGGAGCGUUCCGUACGUCGUUGAAGGUGUGCCGUGAGGCAUGCUGGAGGCAUCGGAAGUGAGAAUGCUGACAUGAGUAGCGAUAAUGCGGGUGAGAGGCCCGCACGCCGAAAGCCCAAGGUUUCCUGCGCAACGCUAAUCGGCGCAGGGUGAGUCGACCCCUAAGGCGAGGCCGAAAGGCGUAGUCGAUGGGAAUCAGGUUAAUAUUCCUGAACCGGCCAUAACUGCGACGGGGUGACGGAGAAGGCUAGGUCGGCCGGGUGUUGGAUGUCCCGGUUUAAGCGCGUAGGUUGGAUGCCCAGGCAAAUCCGGGCGUCCGUUAAGACUGAGGCGUGAUGACGAGCGCUUUAAUUAGCGCGAAGCGAUUGAUGCCAUGCUUCCAGGAAAAACCCCUAAGCUUCAGGUUAUGUUCGAUCGUACCCCAAACCGACACAGGUGGGCGGGGAGAGAAUCCCAAGGCGCUUGAGAGAACUCUGGUGAAGGAACUCGGCAAAAUGACACCGUAACUUCGGGAGAAGGUGUGCCUCCGUCAGGUGACGGGCUUCGCGCCCCGAGCCGAGGGGGGUUGCAACAAAGAGGUGGCUGCGACUGUUUACUAAAAACACAGCACUCUGCAAACUCGCAAGAGGAAGUAUAGGGUGUGACGCCUGCCCGGUGCCGGAAGGUUAAGUGACGGGGUUAGCCGUUUUCGAACGGCGACGCUCCCGACCGAAGCCCCGGUGAACGGCGGCCGUAACUAUAACGGUCCUAAGGUAGCGAAAUUCCUUGUCGGGUAAGUUCCGACCUGCACGAAUGGCGUAACGAUGGCCACACUGUCUCCACCAGAGACUCAGCGAAAUUGAACUCGCUGUGAAGAUGCAGCGUACCCGCGGUUAGACGGAGAGACCCCGUGAACCUUUACUACAACUUCACACUGGACUUUGAACAGGCAUGUGCAGGAUAGGUGGCAGGCUUUGAAGUGGAGACGCCAGUCUCCGCGGAGCCGUCCUUGAGAUACCACCCUUGUUUGUUUGGGGCCCUAACCGAGGCCCGUUAUCCGGGUCCGGGACCAUGUGUGGCGGGUAGUUUGACUGGGGCGGUCUCCUCCCAAAGCGUAACGGAGGAGCGCGAAGGUACUCUAAGCACGGUCGGAAAUCGUGCGGUUAGUGCAAAGGCACAAGAGUGCUUGACUGCGAGACAGACACGUCGAGCAGGAACGAAAGUUGGUCUUAGUGAUCCGGUGGUUCUGUAUGGAAGGGCCAUCGCUCAACGGAUAAAAGGUACUCCGGGGAUAACAGGCUGAUACCGCCCAAGAGUUCACAUCGACGGCGGUGUUUGGCACCUCGAUGUCGGCUCAUCACAUCCUGGGGCUGUAGCCGGUCCCAAGGGUAUGGCUGUUCGCCAUUUAAAGUGGUACGCGAGCUGGGUUUAGAACGUCGUGAGACAGUUUGGUCCCUAUCUGCCGUGGGCGCCGGAGACUUGAGAGGAGCUGCUCCUAGUACGAGAGGACCGGAGUGGACGUACCUCUGGUGUUCCGGUUGUCACGCCAGUGGCACCGCCGGGUAGCUAUGUACGGACGGGAUAACCGCUGAAAGCAUCUAAGCGGGAAGCCCCCCUCAAGAUGAGGUCUCCCGGGGCGUUAAGCCCCCUGAAGGGCCGUUGAAGACGACAACGUGGAUAGGCCGGGUGUGGAAGCGCAGCAAUGCGUGAAGCUAACCGGUACUAAUUGCCCGUGCGGCUUGACCAU